AGAAAAAAAAGAAAAAUAAGAAUUCUUUUUAUUUAGUUUCCUACCGUAUUGGAAACAAUUAUUUCUCUAUGCCCUUUCUUUCGAAAUUUCAAAAUCGAAAUUCUAAAAAAAUUCAUUUUUUUUUCCUUUACGAUUAGUUAUUACUACAAAUCCGCCAUCCAGUUCGUUAUGUUUGGCGAAUAAGAAAAAAAAAACCCAAGUCGCAACGAAAAGAGAGCCCAUUACAUAUCAAUCGGUUUAAAGUGUGUAAUUCAAUUCUGUUUUGUAAAAUAGAUCUUGAAGUAUACAUCAAGGCGAAUAUCCGUUAACUUACCGAUAUCAAAACGUUCAACGGAGAACAAAAGUUAUAGAUUUGCGCGAUAGCCGUUUGGAUAAAUAUAUAUACAUAUAUAUAUACUUAGUAUGUUAAAUCUUAUCGUACUAUCAACGUAACGUUUCUACUGAUAUUUGUAAUUGUACGCACAAAGGACUCUCGAUCAGAUCACAUUCAUAAAAAUCGAGCAAAGGGGCAAUGGAAGAGCAACAACACCCAUUGAUAAAAUAGUAGAAAAACACACGCAAACAUUGAUAAAAUAGAAAAAUCUAGUCUCUCGUGUGAGAAAACCUAAAAAAAAUCUACAAUGUUUGUACAAACAAAUCGAUAUGAUCUAUUCUAAUCUAAUCAAAAUGGAUAAAUGGAUAGACUCUCCCUCUCUCUCUCUCUUUCUCUCUCUUUCUCUUUCUUUCUCUUUCUUUUUUGUGUUUCUUUCUCACCUUCUAUCGUUUCGUCUUCGAUCUCUACGGCGAUGUCCUGUCCUCGUUAUCGAAGGUAGAGAUUCGUCCGCCCGAUCGAGCGCACGAAUCCCGAAGGAUGAUCUUGGUUGCCAUGUGAAUCGUUCGACGCCAAGGCGACAUCAUCCCCCCGGUCUCUGCCCGCACCUGCCAGCCCUCGUGUCUGUCCGUCUUAUCCUCUUCGUUGAUGACUCUUCCAACUGACAUCCAUUAAUAUGCAAAUUUGUAUUGCCAGCCGUUGCGAAAAAUGAAGACGAUCGACGGCAACAUCGAUUACGUUAUCCUCAAUUAACGGAAAUGAUGGACCCUUGGCGUUAGCCACGAAGGAAGUUGAAAUAUUGUGAAUCCUAAGAAUGUCCUACCACUUAGUUAUCUAUAAAGGCUGCGUAAUCGUAAAACGUACAAAAUAGAUACUUCGAUAGCGAUCGUAUCUUUUCCUUCAGCCUUUUCCUUUUUUCUUUCCUUUUUACUUUCAUCAUAGAAUACAAGAGCAUGAGAAGAAAAAACAAAAUAUAUAUAUAUAUAUAUAUAUAUAUAUAUAUAUAUAUUUAUACACACACACACAUACACACACACACAAUAUAUAAGGAUGAUUUAAAAAAUGUGAUCUCAUUUGAUGAGCAAUUAAUGAUUCGUAUUUUCCUUCGGAAA